rnacentral:lncRNA from 1 species
GACUAGGGUUGCAACGAAGUUGCAGUGAGAUGAAGGUGGCCGCACCGGUUGUAGAUGGUUGAGAUGGUCCCUGGAAGUGGCAAGGCUUGAGCAAGGCUGGGAGAUAGCAGCAGAACCUCGAUGUGCAGCCUCAGUCCGGGGCAAACGGGCUUCCCCAACACCCCGGCUGGUUGGAUCUCUGGCUUUGCAUCCUUUCUGAUGUGGUUUUCUUCUUUGCAUACCUUUUGCCA